CUGCCUACGGGGCGCAGCAGUAGGGAAUCUUCCACAAUGGACGAAAGUCCGAUGGAGCAACGCCGCGUGAGUGAAGAAGGGUUUCGGCUCGUAAAGCUCUGUUGGUAGUGAAGAAAGAUAGAGGUAGUAACUGGCCUUUAUUUGACGGUAAUUACUUAGAAAGUCACGGCUAACUACGUGCCAGCAGCCGCGGUAAUACGUAGGUGGCAAGCGUUGUCCGGAUUUAUUGGGCGUAAAGCGGGUGCAGGCGGUUCAAUAAGUCUGAUGUGGAAGCCGUCG
rnacentral:rRNA from 1 species